rnacentral:rRNA from 1 species
GAUGAACGCUGGCGGCGUGCCUAAUACAUGCAAGUCGAGCGAACAGACGAGGAGCUUGCUCCUCUGACGUUAGCGGCGGACGGGUGAGUAACACGUGGAUAACCUACCUAUAAGACUGGGAUAACUUCGGGAAACCGGAGCUAAUACCGGAUAAUAUAUUGAACCGCAUGGUUCAAUAGUGAAAGACGGUUUUGCUGUCACUUAUAGAUGGAUCCGCGCCGCAUUAGCUAGUUGGUAAGGUAACGGCUUACCAAGGCAACGAUGCGUAGCCGACCUGAGAGGGGGAUCGGCCACACUGGAACUGAGACACGUUCCAGACUCCUACGGGAGGCAGCAGUAGGGAAUCUUCCGCAAUGGGCGAAAGCUUGACGGAGCAACGCCGCGUGAGUGAUGAAGGUCUGCGGAUCGUAAAACUCUGUUAUUAGGGAAGAACAAAUGUGUAAGUAACUAUGCACGUCUUGACGGUACCGAAGCAGAAAGCCACGGCUAACUACGU